rnacentral:lncRNA from 1 species
UGAACACUAUCAAGGCUGCUCUGUGGGCCCAGCACUCCAGCAAAUGAAUAGAAACAUAAUGUUCCUGCCAAGCUGAUUUAUCUAUCAUUUAACCAGAGUGAGCGAGAGAAGAAACAAACAGUGGGAGAAGAUGUCUCACGCACACUGAAGUUAGACCACUGCAAAACUGAGCCAGACGGCUUUGUUGUGCAGCUUUCUGAUGCCUCCAGGGGACAGCUGCUUAUCGGAGGGAGACUAUUGUGGGGGGUUGGGGCUGGAGAUGUUCCAUGCAGCAUCCUGCAAGGGGAAGCAGUUACUUUAUGAGAGCGAUGCUUCAGCCAGCUAACUGGAUAGCCCUCCCUUUUGCAGCUGGUGUGGGUGAAGAUGUGGAAGCUUGAUUCUCCUUAGAAGCUCUGAUCACCCCAGCCCAGAACCACUAGUCCUCACUUAGUCUUGGAGAGGAGGCAAGGAUGUGUAUUCUCUGCGUGUAGCCUUACGGUCUGCAAAUGCUUAUGAAAACCUAUGAAAGAGAGACUAUUCAUUUUACCUCAAGUACCUUUGAGAGCCACAGGGGUUGCACAACAUGGACUUCCUCUGCUAGAGUGGGAAGACAGUCUUUUUUACAUGAAAAGAUUAGGAU